UGCACCUGGCACAACCAUGUUUUUGCAUAUGGCAUGGACUUUCCAAUAUUUGAAGCAAGCUAAAUUCCUUUCUUUAAAAUGGUGCCGCCCUCAGUGACUGUUUUCCAUGCUUGAGGUCUCACGUUCUUCCCAUAGAUUUCUGAUCAGGUUUUCUUUUAUAAAAUUGGAAUAAUCAUUUGAGUUGAACAUGCAUGUGUAUGUAAUUUCCUAUAUUUCGCUUAGCUUGAGAUUCAGAAUGUGCUUCUCCCCGUAGAUCAAUGUCACAUGACAUAAUUAAAACAGUGCAUGUAUAUAAAAGCAAAUUAAAUUUCAACCAGAAUCAUGAAUUAAUUAUUGAAGUUAACAUAAUUA